AGGUAUUUCAAGUCAAUGUGAUCUCCACCUUUCUAAUGAUAAAACUUGUUGUACCUCACUUGCAGAAACAAGGGUAAGUAUACUCGGCAACAAUGAAUGAGAAGCUGUUAUUAGGACUGAGCUAGCAUAUGAUUUUUUUAUAAUGUUAAUUUACUGUAUAGAAAAAUUAAUGAUAAAAAGAUGAAUAUGUAUUUAUAUGGAAUGUAUCUGGAGGACGACACUGAGACUCUAUCCUGCACAAUAUAAUUUAAUUCUAAUUUAACCACCUUGUAAACUUGCUUUAUUUGAUAUAUUCUGGGUGCAUUGCAUAUUACAUUUAUGUCUUGUAUGUAAUGCUAAAGUAUAGUUUUACUAGCCCUGUAUGUAAUUGUUUCAUUCACAUAUAUGCACAUCUCUAUUUCCCCACUGCUUUCUGCCCUCUGGCCCCUCCCUUCUUUUAUUGAUAUCAACUCAAAUGUUUUUUUUUGUAUAACUAUCCCCUCAUCUCUCUGCAUAGAUGCAAAUCCCCCUCCCUCAGCUUUAUUGCAGGCUUAUCUGACCCUCAUAUAUCUUUCUUACACAGCCUGAUUUCCAAACUUUCCAGCCCCAUUAAUGCUGCAAGAAUGUCUGAUACCUGCCCACUCCACCCUACACCGAGCUCAUUAUUUCAUUUGUAAAGUACACUCCUGCACUUUAUUAACCCUUACAACAUAAUCUUUAACAUUCCUACUCCUGUUUUUGAUAUUCCAAUUCUUUCCAAUUUAUUUUUUUUCCAGUUUAGCAGUGCUCUGUCUUCUCUUCAUUUCCUCCUCGUCCCUCAGUAUCAAAAUCUCUCAUACACACCCAUUUCCCCCAUGCCCCCACCAACCCUUACAUUUCCCCCUCUCUGCUGCACUCCCCCUUUCUCUCAUAUCAUGUACUGCACUCAUUUUUCUGCUCCCUCUCUCCUACUCACAAUCAAUCUCAUCCUAGACCCCAUACACAUAUAGGGAGUGCAGAAUUAUUAGGCAAAUGAGUAUUUUGACCACAUCAUCCUCUUUAUGCAUGUUGUCUUACUCCAAGCUGUAUAGGCACGAAAGCCUACUACCAAUUAAGCAUAUUAGGUGAUGUGCAUCUCUGUAAUGAGAAGGGGUGUGGUCUAAUGACAUCAACACCCUAUAUCAGGUGUGCAUAAUUAUUAGGCAACUUCCUUUCCUUUGGCAAAAUGGGUCAAAAGAAGGACUUGACAGGCUCAGAAAAGUCAAAAACAGUGAGAUAUCUUGCAGAGGGAUGCAGCACUCUUAAAAUUGCAAAGCUUCUGAAGCGUGAUCAUCGAACAAUCAAGCGUUUCAUUCAAAAUAGUCAACAGGGUCGCAAGAAGCGUGUGGAAAAACCAAGGCGCAAAAUAACUGCCAUGAACUGAGAAAAGUCAAGCGUGCAGCUGCCACGAUGCCACUUGCCACCAGUUUGGCCAUAUUUCAGAGCUGCAAUAUCACUGGAGUGCCCAAAAGCACAAGGUGUGCAAUACUCAGAGACAUGGCCAAGGUAAGAAAGGCUGAAAGACGACCACCACUGAACAAGACACACAAGCUGAAACGCCAAGACUGGGCCAAGAAAUAUCUCAAGACUGAUUUUUCUAAGGUUUUAUGGACUGAUGAAAUGAGAGAGAGUCUUGAUGGGCCAGAUGGAUGGGCCCGUGGCUGGAUUGGUAAAGGACAGAGAGCUCCAGUCCGACUCAGACGCCAGCAAGGUGGAGGUGGAGUACUGGUUUGGGCUGGAAUCAUCAAAGAUGAGCUUGUGGGGCCUUUUAGGGUUGAGGAUGGAGUCAAGCUCAACUCCCAGUCCUACUGCCAGUUCCUGGAAGACACCUUCUUCAAGCAGUGGUACAGGAAGAAGUCUGCAUCCUUCAAGAAAAACAUGAUUUUCAUGCAGGACAAUGCUCCAUCACACGCGUCCAAGUACUCCACAGCGUGGCUGGCAAGAAAGGGUAUAAAAGAAGAAAAUCUAAUGACAUGGCCUCCUUGUUCACCUGAUCUGAACCCCAUUGAGAACCUGUGGUCCAUCAUCAAAUGUGAGAUUUACAAGGAGGGAAAACAGUACACCUCUCUGAACAGUGUCUGGGAGGCUGUGGUUGCUGCUGCACGCAAUGUUGAUGGUGAACAGAUCAAAACACUGACAGAAUCCAUGGAUGGCAGGCUUUUGAGUGUCCUUGCAAAGAAAGGUGGCUAUAUUGGUCACUGAUUUGUUUUUGUUUUGUUUUUGAAUGUCAGAAAUGUAUAUUUGUGAAUGUUGAGAUGUUAUAUUGGUUUCACUGGUAAUAAUAAAUAAUUGAAAUGGGUAUAUAUUUGUUUUUUGUUAAGUUGCCUAAUAAUUAUGCACAGUAAUAGUCACCUGCACACACAGAUAUCCUCCUAACAUAGCUAUAACUAAAAACAAACUAAAAACUACUUCCAAAAAUAUUCAGCUUUGAUAUUAAUGAGUUUUUUGGGUUCAUUGAGAACAUGGUGGUUGUUCAAUAAUAAAAUUAAUCCUCAAAAAUACAACUUGCCUAAUAAUUCUGCACUCCCUGUAAAACCCACUAGCACCUCCUGCUACUAGCAGCUGAUGAUGUCUCUCCCAACCCAGGGCACCUUCACCUCCUCUGCACAGACUAAGACAACCAGAAACGACACAAACCUCAUCACAAUACCCUCCCCUUUACCCUCAUUUACCAACAUUCGGUGUGCACUCUGUCUACAAUCUGAAAUAAACAGCCAUACACAACCUUUUCAUCUCAAACUUACUAGCACUCACUGAGACCUGGCUUUCCCCCUCUGAUAGUGCUACUCCAUCGUCUUUCUGUUUUCAUGGGCUACAAUUCUCCCACACUCUCAGACUCUAUUCUAAAGGUGUAGGCAUCCUUCUCUCCCCUUAAUGUACCUUUCAACCAAUCUUCCUUGCCCUAUUGUUACUUCCUUUAAAGUUCACAAUGUUCAACUAUUUAAACCCACUUCUUUAUGAAUUGCUAUCAUCUACUGCCCUCCAUCCCACCCUCCUCGUUCAUCCUAGGCUAUUCAAUGAGCACUUUUCUUCCUGGCUACCUCACUUCCUAUCCUCUAGCACUCCUUCCCUUCAAUAUCCCAAUCAACCAUCCCAACUGCACUGAUCCCUCACGUCUGCUCUCUGUAACCUCCUUAUUUGGUCUCACGCAAUGGUCUAAUUCAGCAACCCAUACAGGAGGAAACCCUAUAAUUGAUCUCACCUUCACCAACCUCUGUACCACCUCCAGUAUUCCUUUUCCUCUCUCUGACCACCAUCUGCCGACUUUUGACAUCCGCUCAGGACCCAAAUGACACUACCCUUGGCACAUCAAUCUCAAACCUUCAAUAUCUUGAUUUAGAGCAAUUCUCCACUAAGCUCCAAACCUAAAACCUCACCUGCCCUAGCUCUGCAAUUUCCUUCUUCAAUUCUGUCCUCUCCUCUUAACUAGACAUCAUGGCACCCCCUACCCUUAAAUGCAGCAAGUGCUCCAACUACAACAUUGGCCCACCAAGCUGACUUGAUACCUGAAAAAAUGCUCCAGAAAUGCUGAACGCUGCUGGAGAAAGUUUCACCCUGCAUCUGACUUUCUCCACUAUAAAUUUAUGCUGCGCUCUUAGAACUUGGCUCUUUCUGCAAAAGUAAAUGACUUCAAUAUCGUCAUCAUCACACUCUUUCGCCAACCCUAACAACUAUUUCACACAUUUAACUCUCUUCUUCGCCCUGUUGCUCCUCCUCCUCCUCCUACCAACUUAACAGGCCACAAACUUUGCAACUCACUUCACUGACCAGAUCUCUACAACCAAGGAAGAGAUCUCUCAUCUCUCUCCUUCCCCUUACAAUACUUUCCACAACGUCACUCCCUCUGCUGUUCUAUUUUUAUUCGCACCUGCUACAGUGGAAGAGGUUUCUACUCUGCUCCAGUCCUCCAGCCCCACCACCUGCUCCCUUGAUCCUAUUCCCUCACAUCAUAUCCAUAUUCGGUCUCCUUCUCUUGCUCUUCCUCUCAUUAAAAUUCUCAAUCUCUCCCUAUCCUCUGGCAUAUUUCCAUCACCCUUCAAACAUGCAAAUGUAACCCUGAUUCUUAAAAAAAAAAACAAAAAAAAAAAAAAAACAGCCUAACCUUGACCCUAACUGCCAGUCCAACUACCACCCUAUCUUGCUACUGCCUUUCGCAUCCAAGAUCCUUGAAAAACUUGUGUAUGUGAGAUUGACAAAUUUCCUUGAGUCUAACUCUCAUCUCAAUCCACUUCAAUCUGGUUUCCGUGCCCAGCAUUCUGUGGAAACGGCUCUGACCAAAGUAUCCAACAAUCUACUUGCUGCAAAGUCUCAUGGUCACUAUUCUAUCCUAAUUCUGCUUGACCUUUCCGCUGAUCCUUCCUCCCUCAAGUGUUGCUACUCCCAUUUCUGUCUCCCGCCACGUUUAUGGUGCUACCAUCGGCUCCACCAUGCAGGCUCACUUCCUAGGUAUUCGCAUCAACUCCGACUUCUCCUUCCCACCCCAUGUCCAGUUGAUCACCAAAUCCUGCCGCUUCCAUCUCAAAAACAUUGCGUGCAUCCACUCCUACUUAACACCAGAUGUGGAUAAGGUGCUGGUCUAUGCCACUGUCCUCUCUCAUCUUGACUACUGCAAUCCGCUUCUGAGUGGUCUUACGUUCUCCCAAUUUUCCCCAUUACAGUCUAAUGAAUGCGGCGGCGAGGAUAAUCUUCCUGUCUGCCCACAUCUCCCACGCCUCACUCUGUCAGUCCCUGCAUUGGCUUCCUGUAAGAUAUAGGGCUUAAUUUAAAAUUUUGAUUCUUGCUAGCAUAUCUCUACAUAAUGCUGCUCCCACAUACCUAUCCUACCUAAUACACAAGUAUGUCCCUUCUAGGCCCCUACGCUCUGCCGAACACCUACGUCUAUCCUCUUUUUGUACUCCCACUUCUGAUGCUCGCCUUCAAGGAUUCUCUAGGGCUCCUGUGGAACUCCCUUCCCUUUUCCGUUCGACGCUCAUCCAGCCUCUACUCCUUCAAAAAAUCAUUAUAAUCUGAUAUGAUUAUGAUACUCACUUUUGCACAAAAGCUUAUCAAUUAAACUGUUAAUGGCUCCCAAAUGAUUCCUCUCUUGCAACUGUCUCUUAAAAACAAAACAAAAAAACACACAAAGUCUUCAGUGAAUAUUAUUCUAUCAAUCUACUUCCCUAAUACAACCCUUACCUUUUGUGCGACUUUACCCUACUCCCUCUAGCAUGUAAGCUCAUUGAGCAGGGCCCUCAACCCCUCUGUUCCUGUACAUCAAACUUGUCUGGUUACGAUUACAUGUUUGUUAGUCCACCCAUUGUAAAGUGCUACGGAAUUUGUUGGUGCUAUGUAAAAAUAACAAUAAUCUGCUAAAAUAGGCCUUAUCAUAGAAUGUUGAUAAAAGAAAAGAUAGUUUUCUACUUAAAAUCACUUUUGAUUUAAAAAAUAAAAGUAGAUAUGAGAAUAUAUGAAAGGUUGAACUUGAUGCACUCACCCUAUGGUGUUGCUACAGUGUGGUGAUGGCUGGCUGGCAGUUGCCUACUCUGCCCAAAUAUAAUCAGGGGUAGUACAGGUGGCAAGGGAGCUUAACAUUUACUGUGCUAUCCCUGCACAGCUUCUUUGAGUGCUUUACAGUAUGCCUGCAGCCAAUAUAUAUCAUCCUGGUAUAGGCAUCACUAGAGGGUGCACAUGGGACCUCUGCAGAUAGGGCACUGUGAUCCCAACAGCAACCACUGCCCAUAAGGGAGAGGAUCCACUUCAGCCCUCCCUGAGAAAGGUAGUGAGGCUGGCUGGACCUUUUAAUAAACAAAAUGUGUGUGAAUAUCUAUAUGAUUGUGUGUGUUUCUGGUUUUGUGUGUGUAAAUGGGUACUUGAUGACUCACUCACUCAUUUCACACUCAAAAUAAUAGUUUUCUCACACACCUAGUCUUUAGACCAUCCUUUACUGUUAAAGAAAAACAUCUGCCCUAUCAUCUUAUGCCAACCAUGUCUACUGAGGUAGCAGGGGUAGUCACACUACAAGACUCAAUUAAUCAUGGGGAAACUAUUAUAGCAAAAUGCAUUUUAAAAAGGGGGAGCAAGAGAACUAUAAUUUGACAAUACGGGUAUUUAAAAUAAAAAAACAAGGUAGUGGACAACUCACUUGCCCAUUCCCACUUUCAUAUUUUGAAAAAUCUCACUUUUUUUUCUAAAUUAAGAUUAAUUUAAUGUUGUUGGAUAAGCUUUUCAAAUGAUUUAGUAUUAUAAUUAAUUUUGAUUGAGAUAUAUAUUGAGAUAUAUAUUUAUAUUUGCAUACAAUUCUAUAUUUAUUUGAAUAUCUAAAAAAAAAAAUACAUUUUACAAAUUUAUACAAACAUAUUGAAUAAUUUGCAAAGCUUAUUCGAGAAAAUAGAAGAUACAAGGUCAUGAUUUAGUAUGCUUUCCAAAUAUUGUUAGAAACACUAACAAAAGAUUUAUCUACGGGCGGAGCCUGACCACCAAGCAAUAUAGAUGUGAGUGACAUGAGCUCCUGCCUGGCGGGCAGAAAUUGGAGUAAUAGCAGCAGCUAAGAAGCCCAUGGAUUUACCAGGGUGCACUACCCACGUUGGAGGUGCAACACUGAAUCGAGUGAUACAACUCCAACGCCCGUCAAGGCCAGGGGUGCAGAACGCCAAGUGCGGCCUACUGGAAUUGUAGCCGGGGUAAGAUAGCGCUCUCCCCUACCUCGGAGCUCCCUAGUGACUUUGCUAGCACCCUACCUCCCACUUUGGACCGAUGGGGGUUAUCCCAGUCCCCACUGGAUACACUGAUCAGGCCUAACGACGGACUUACCGGCUAUGCCGCCUGUAGUGGUACUGCACCGUCGAGGCACAGCCAAGAUGGUGGCCCAGAAAAGGCCCAAGUCAAAGAGCACAGGCACUCAGCCACCAAUGCAGCCCCUGGAGGCUUUUGACCAGCUCUGCAUGAGCUUCUGGACAACAUUCUGCAAUCGUGGUGUGGCCUAUCAUCAAGCGGUGAUAGCGCCAUCGAAGAGGCUCACAAUGUCAAAUCUCGGGACAUUCCUGCACUGGGCACCCUAUACUGUGCCUCACAGCAGACAUGCCUUACUUUGCACCCUGAGUGCAUGCUUUUGGCUGCCGCGGUAUGGAGUAUACCUCCUAAGCCGUUAAGGUCUUUCCAUUUACACAGCCUGGACCAACCCUCCCAAGAGACAGUUUCCACGAUACUCUUAGCACUUGGCUUUAAGAACUGCAGCAGUUCCCUUACUGUAGUCCCCGUCAUUUUGUUUUUGCUAAUGUUUAUUUCCAGUGGACUCACUAUAUCGACCGCUACUGAUAACUAGUGAUGCACCGAACGGUUCGCUGGCGAAUAAUUCCUGGCGAACAUAGCAUGUUCGCGUUCGCCACGGUGGGCGAACAUAUGCGUGGUUCGAUCCGCCCCCUAUUCAUCAUCAUUGAGUAAACUUUGACCCUGUACCUCACAGUCAGCAGACACAUUCCAGCCAAUUAGCAGCACACCCUCCCUAGCAGACCCUCCCACCUACUGGACAGCAUCCAUUUUAGAUUCAUUCUCAAGCUGCAUGCUUAGUGAGAGGAGGGAAAGUGUAGCUGCUAUUAAUUUGAUAGGGAAAUGGGUAGCUAGGUUAGUGUAUACAGUGUCCACUACAGUCCCGAAGGACUGAUCUGAUAUCUGCUGUAAGGACAGCACCCCAAAAAGCCCUUUUUAGGGCUAGAACAUCAGUCUGCUUUUUUUUUUUUUCUGUGUAAUGUAAUUGCAGUUGCCUGCCUGCCAGCUUCUGUGUCAGACUCACAGUGGAUACUGUGCCCACUUGCCCAGUGCCACCACUCACUCACUGGUGUCACAUUAGCGUGCAUUUAAAAACCCAAAAACUUUUUUCACUGUUAUAGAUUGAAUAGCAGUUAGUUGUCUUCAAGCGGGUGUGUCAGGCCUACAACGUGUACUUUGCCAGUUCAAAGUGCCACUCAUAUCUGGUGUCACAGUAGCUUGCACGCAUAGUACCACUAAUCGAAAAAAAAAAUGACAGGCAGAGGCAGGCCACCCCUACACUGCGCAUUGGGUAAACCUGCUGACGGCUGCCAAGCAUGGAAUGCGUGGCUCUGCAGAGGAGUUGGUGACACUGCCACGACUUGCAGGCAGGCCUGCUGCCACCUCCUCUAGUCCAUCCUCUUCCAUAACCUCCUCGGCUGAGUCCUCUUCUGCUGCUGCGUCUUGCUCCACAUCAACGUAUAGGGGACGUAACAGGGAUUAAACUGAUAAGAAUAUUACUACUUAACACACCACUCCUAUCUGGUGGCACAUUAGAUGGCAUGCGCAGUGCCCAAAAUUUGAAGUAGGAGGACCGACCAAGCAUCUUUUUCCAUCUCCCGGUUCCUAAAAUCGAUGCCAUAUACACGUCCCCUGGGGACGUAACAGGGAUUAAACGGAUAGGAAUAAUACUACUUAACACACCUUAUAAUAACGCAGAGAGAGGAGUCUGAAGAAGAGGAGUCAGAGGAGGAAGGUGGCUUUGAGGAGGUGGAAGACCAAACACAGCAGGUGUCCCAGGGAGCUUGUUGUCACCUUUCGGGGACCCUUGGUGUUGUACGUGGCUGGGUGGAGGAAGAGACCUUCAAUGACAUCAGUGAGGACAAGGAACGGGACAUGGCUAGCUUGGUAUCCAACCUUGUGCAAAUGGGGAGUUUGCGGUUGUGCAAAUGGACUGUUUGCGGUUGUUUGCAGUGCGUUAAACGGGGAGUUUGGUCUGUCACUGUGAAGCGGGCGUAACCCUUACACUACUUGAUCGAUACAACAUCAUACAGUAGGUCCCCCCCGUCAUUAUUUUUAUGGCCCCCACCAGGCCCAGACUGGCCAUCGGGCAUACCGGGCAAAUGCCCGGUGGGCCGCGAUGGCCGUGGGGCCGAGGCUGGCAGGGGAGAUCACAGGAUCUCCCCGGCCGGCCUCUGCAGAGCCGGCGCUAUCCGAGCGCCGGCCCUGCUGUGUGCCUCCAUGGGCCGGUGGGGAGAUGAAAGAUCUCCCUCACCGGCCCAGAGGCAGGGAGAUGCAGCCGCCGGCUGGGUGAGGGAGGGGAGGACCGGCGGAGCUCUAACCAGCAGCUCCGCCGGUCCUCUUGCGGGAUUCUGAGCGUUGCCGCUCUCACCACUGGACCACCAGGGAAGGCAGCAUGGCUCCCCACCCCCCAGGCAUAAUGGAUUUCCUCCUCCCCCCCUCCCAGGAUAAAGGUAAGAAGGGAGGGGGGGGGGAAAUAUAUAUAUUUUUUUUAAAUAUAUAUUUAAAUUUAAAUAAAAAAUACAUUCACUCACACACACAGCACCCAGACACAGCACCCCCCAAACACACACAGCGCACCCCCAGACACAUCCCCCAGUCCUGCACCCCCAGACACACACAGCAGCCCCAGACACAGCACCCAGACACAGCACAGACACACAUCCCCAGACACACAUCCCCCAGUCUAGCACCCCAGACACAGCACCCCCAAACACACACACAGCACCCCAGACACAGCACACCCCCAAACACACACAGCGCACCCCCAGACACACACAGCACUCAGACACACACACAGCACUCAGACACACACACAGCACUCAGACACACACACAGCACUCAGACACACACACAGCUCUCAGACACACACACAGCUCUCAGACACACACACAGCUCUCAGACACACACACAGCUCUCAGACACACACACAGCCCCCAGACACACACACCCCCACACACACAGCCCCCAGACACACACAGCCCCCAGACACACACAGCACCCUCACUCCCACACAUAUACAGCACACACACACAUAUAUACAGCACACACACAUAUAUUUCUAAUUUUCUUUGUCUGUUAACUCACUGAGGGUUAAUAUAUAUAUAUUAACCCUCAGUGAGUUAACAGACAAAGAAAAUUAGAAACCUAGAAUGUGACAGCAGAUAAAAACACCCUCACACACAACACCCCUCUUACAUACACACACUGCGCCCCUCACACAUACAAUAAGUCCAAAUAUAUAUAUAUACACACACACACACACACACACACACACACACACACACACACACACACUACAGCACCCUCACACUGCACACAUUACGCUCCAGAUUACACACCGUCCCACUUACCUAUAUGCACUCUUAAUCCCCUCUACACACACACACACACACUGGGUCCCUUUACAGUAGAUCUCCUACACACACACACACUACAUUUCCCCUGUCCCAGCCGCUUGCCUAGCAUUCUCUAACACACCCUCUCUACACUUACUUCCCUCGUCACCUAUACACACUUCAAGCCGUAUACACACUGCUGCAUCCCUAUAAAAAAUACCUCUCUACAGCCCCCUAGCCUACGUAUUACCUACAAACACAAAUUAAGUGGCCUAUUUAUACAAUACCACACCACACUCUACACACACGCAAUCCCACAAGCAGGCUCCAAACACAUGCACCAUACACUUUCCUGGCCCUUUUGUCCUCUGGUAUCCCACUUGUUGAGACACCAGAGACAAUUUAAAAGCAAACACAGCGCAAGCAUAUUAUUAAAUUUGCUUGCGCUGCGCAGAACAAAUACAGGGCCUUUUUCUAAUGCCAGAGCUCUUCAGCGCAGCUCUGCGCAUUGAACCAACAUGCUCACUUUGAGAGGAGGCGUGCUUGUCAUUAGUGAUGACAAAACACACCCUCUCUGGCCCCGCCCCCUUCUUAGGGGGCCGCUCUGAUUGAAAAAUGCCGGGCCUAAUUUUUUCCCCAGUCCGGCCCUGGCCCCACCCACCCCGCUCGGGUGGGGAAGGCCGGAAGGACUUCCCCUUAUCCUUAUUUACUGAAUAUUCCCCUGUAUAACAAUGUUUGGCAUUUAGUGAAUAUUCCUAUUCUGCUCUGUGUCAGAGUGUAUCAGGGAUCCUUAGGAUAGGUGUCAAUCCAUAUCUGCCAAGUAACCCUAUGUAGGGGGAACAGUCUCUAUUCUGCUCUGUGUCAGUGUGUAUCAUGGUCCCUGAGGACAGGUGUCAAUCCAUAUCUGCCAAGUGACCCUAUGUAGGGGAACAGUCCCUAUUCUGCUCUGUGUCAGUGUGUAUCAGGGAUCCUGAGGACAGGUGUCAAUCCAUAUCUGCCAAGUGACCCUAUGUAGGGGGAACAGUCCCUAUUCUGCUCUGUGUCAGUGUGUAUCAGGGAUCCUAGGACAGGUGUCAAUCCAUAUCUGCCAAGUGACCCUAUGUAGGGGGAACAGUCCUAUUCUGCUCUGUGUCAGUGUGUAUCAUGGUCUCUAGGACAGGUGUCAAUCCAUAUCUGCCAAGUGACCCUAUGUAGGGGAACAGUCUCUAUUCUGCUCUGUGUCGGUGUGUAUCAGGGAUCCUUAGUACAGGUGUCAAUCCAUAUCUGCCAAGUGACCCUAUGUAGGGGGAACAGUCUCUAUUUUGCUCUGUGUCAGUGUGUAUUAGGGGCUCUGAGGACAGGUGUCAAUCCAUACCUGCCAAGUGACCCUAUGUAGGGGAACAGUCUCUAUUCUGCUCUGUGUCAGUGUGUAUCAUGGUCUCUGAGGACAGGUGUCAAUCCAUAUCUGCCAAGUGACCCUAUGUAGGGGGAACAGUCCCUAUUCUGCUCUGUGUCAGUGUGUAUCAUGGUCUAUGAGGACAGGUGUCAAUCCAUAUCUGCCAAGCGACCCUAUGUAGGAGGAACAGUCUCUAUUCUGCUCUGUGUCAGUGUGUAUCAGGAGCUCUGAGGACAGGUGUCAAUCCAUAUCUGCCAAGUGACCCUAUGUAGGGGGAACAGUCCCUAUUCUGCUCUGUGUCAAUAUGUCAUAUGUCUGGUAUCAAUCCAUAUCCAUUGUGAUUUAGGAAUGUUAGGUGAUUUCUGCCCUUUAUGGAUUAAAACCAGACUCUGCAUCAACUGUGUAAUUUUCCAUGGGAUGUUUGCCAUGGAUCCCCCUCCGGCAUGCCACAGUCCAGGUGUUAGUCCCCUUGAAACAACUUUUCCAUCACUAUUGUGGCCAGAAAGAGUCCCUGUGUGUUUUAAAAUUCACCUGCCCAUUGAAGUCUAUGGCGGUUCGCCGGUGCGCGAACAUUUGCAGAAGUUCGCGUUCGCCGUUCGCGAACCAAAAAUUUCGGGUUCGCGACAUCACUACUGAUAACGCUUAAGUAUGCAUGUAUAUAUAUAUAUAUAUAUAAUGUCAAAAUGUUCCUGUGAUGACACUCCUAGAGACCUCACAAUAUAGCAUAUAUGUCAGUAUGUAACUCAGAUUUAUUGCCUAGCCUGCCAGGACUAACACCUGACAGGUAGUGAUACUUCUCAUGCAACUACAUUACCUUCACAUAUCAAUGUUAACUUAGGUAUGAAUAGCAUUCUGUUUAAAUGUGACACCUAAUCUGCAACCUAUAGCUUGUACUUCAUAUUGUCAUUUAUAUGUAUCUCACGGUCUAAACUUACCUACUGCUAGGUGACCCACCUUAGUUACUCAAGCUAUAAUUGUUAUGCACAUUCAUAUCGAGAUCCACAAAACUAUUUUAUAUCAUUUUCUAUGCAUGUUUUCAGCAUAAUUACUCAUUGUUGAACGAACGCAUGUCCCCUUUAUCAUUUUGUGGCAUUUUGACGCUGAUUUGUACUCACCUGCACUACAAAAGAAAAAGAUUUAUCUACAAAAAGAUCCCAUUGACUUUCAUUAUGACUAAUUUAAAUAAAAUAAUUUGGCAUGUUUUUCUAACCACAUUGUAUCAUUUGGAAAGGUUAUUAAAUCAAUGCCUAAUUUUUUUUUUUGUUAAGUAGACAUGUUUUGCAUUUACUUUUGGUAUUUUAAAAUACUACAAUACAUUCCAUUAAUAUUUGUUACGCUUAACAUCAUUAUAUACUCAACUGUCAGACAUUUCUUAAUUUUUUUUUUUUUUAACAGAUCUGGAUCAAUUAUUAUUUGUUCUUCUGUAGCCAGCUAUCUUCCUCAACCAGUAAGUAUUUUGUUUUUCUAGAAUAAACCCAACACUGCUUUCUUUAGUAUUGCAAUAAAUGUCCAGUUGCAAAUCUUUUAUUACAGUGAGCAGCCACUGGUUUAGCAAAUGACACCACUUCAAUAUGGCAAGUCAAGG